rnacentral:rRNA from 1 species
UACGAAGGGUGCUAGCGUUGUUCGGAAUCACUGGGCGUAAAGCGUGCGCAGGCGGCUAUUCAAGUCCGGGGUGAAAUGCCUGGGCUCAACCCAGGAACUGCCUUUGAAACUGUAUAGCUAGAGUCUCGGAGGGGUUAGGGGAAUUCCUAAUGUAGCGGUGAAAUGCGUAGAUAUUAGGAGGAACACCGGUGGCGAAGGCGCCACUCUGGGCCGGUACUGACGCUGAGGAGCGAAAGCGUGGGGAGCGAACAGG